UGAUUGUCCUGUGUGUCUUGAUGUCCUGGUUAGAGGUACUCUGGUUGUGGGCUGGUGGUUCCUGAGAAGCUACAAGGCUGUAAUGUGCUGGAUCUGGACAGUGACUCUGACAGAUACCGCUUCAUCCUCAUUUAGCUAGUGAGCCAGACUGGCCAUGCCCUCAGUACUGACAGGACAGCAGGACUGGGCUAGAUGCCGAAACUGGAUGGGACAGGCAUACAGAAUGGCUCCCUGGAUGUCCUGGUGUAAAGCUGUUCCUUCGUUCUGCACCCUCAGGCUUGCUUUCUGCUGGGGAUCUAUUUGAGUGUCUUACUGAAGCAGAUCACACACAACACAUAUCCAGUGACACUCCCUCCUCUCCAUCUCCUUUCAGCUAAUAGUAUGUUAAGGGAAAGGCCUUAUCUAUUUACCAUUUAUUCACUGAUUGACUCACAGAUUAAUUCAUCACUGAUUGGUGACCUAAUUAGUUCCCAGAUACCCAGAUACUGACUGAUGUCUCUGCCUCCUUCCUGUAGGUCAAACUGUGCCAUGUGUCUGUAUCCUGACAAAAAGGCUGUUCUCAGGGAGGCCUUCAGAGUGCUCGAAGUAACCUUCACACUCUCUGGUGGUCAGCCAAUAUUUCAGUAGCAUCCAGCAUGCCGCACCAAAAAAUAUAAAAUAUUGAUUAAGUAGUGGUGCUCAAAAUUGGAAACGUGUUUUAUAAAGCUAUUUGAUUUACAAAGUGGCAUCAUUUUCAUUAACCAUUUGCUUUUCCUCAUUUAUCUUUGGUGGUAUGUGAAAAUAUUGUUACGCAACCCGCAGUGUGAAAUCAGAUACUCUAUCGCCAUCUGCUGGACAAUCUUUUUAAACUUUUGUUUAUGGGAGUAUGGUUUGAUUUGCCUUCACAACAUUGUAAAACAUUGUAAAACAUAUAUUUUUGUGAAGAUUAGGGCCAAAAUAAAUGACCCAAAUAAAACAAUAUUUGU